CUCUAUCCCUGUUCCACCCCUUUUUAUCUACCUUUCUUUCAAUGAAAAGGGAUUCUAGCACCCUUCCCUGCUGAGUAUUCAGUUUUGCCUGUCCUGAUGAGAAAUAUUGAGUCAUCUAAAUAUUGAGUCAUCUCUGUUCUAUUUCUAGCAUGUUUUCAUCCACUGAAGAGAGGUAAAUGAUAUGCAAAAAACUGCGUUAAUGCUGCACUAAAUCCAUGAUGUCAGCUGCUGUUUGCCAGCUUAUUGAACAGCAGAUGUUUGUUGCUAAGAACAACGUACCUGGAUUGAUUCGGUGAUGACACAGAGAAGGAACGGAUGGCAUAGAGCUGUCCCUGCUCCUUUCAUUACGUCAGCAACUGGAAAUGAUGACAAUACCAUGCUGGCUUAUUCCAAAUUAUGGAGACCAGUGAACAGACUAGCCUGACUGGCAGGAGAUCUCGGAAAAAGAGACUCAAGUCUGCCUUGGACAGCUACAGAGGUUAAAUGCCUCUGGAUCAUGUUGCUGAUGAAAGAGACUGGAAAGUGAGAUUUGGAUACACUUCAGAUCACCCGCUUUACAAGUGUUUUACUCUUGACUGCUCUGUCAGUGUUGAGGUCAUUUGCCAGAAGACCACUUGCCUGAUGAGUGAAAGAAGGUAUGUCCACUGCAACUGGGGGUACUUGGGUCAUCAGAGUGAUGGUCUGGCAAUCCAUGAGAGACAAGGAAUCAGAUGGGAGGGAAAGUAUAUGAAAGAGUAGUUCAGUUGGAAGAGACCCUAAAGAUCAUCUAGUCCAGAUAAAGAGGAGGAAGAAAAUGUUGACUGCUUGAAAAAAAUCAGGAAUCUCCUAUUUCCUUUGUGAAAGUCCUUUCUACAUGAACCUGUGUGCAUGUGACUUCCCACAGAACUGUUAUUGUGCCACUUCUCGAUCUAUGAGCCUGAAAGCAGGUUAGUAACAGUCCACCUCUGCAAUAAAAACCAACAUAUCUUUCUGGGCUAUCA
ensembl:lncRNA